CAUCUAUAAUAUCUUUAACCAUAGAUAGCAGGUAGCCCUUAAGGCUUUAAUUUCCUGCCGAGGUGAGCUAAUUUUGUCUUAAAUAAGGCAAAAUAGGUCGAAGCAAACCCGUUUUCAAGUCUGUGGCAGAACACAGAUUUUUUGUUUACAAU
rfam:Parcubacteria (Magasanikbacteria) bacterium GW2011_GWA2_42_32 TV20_C0004, whole genome shotgun sequence.